rnacentral:rRNA from 1 species
AACGUAGGAGGCGAGCGUUAUCCGGAUUUACUGGGUGUAAAGCGCGUGCAGGCGGUGGGCUAAGUUGGGUGUGAAAGCUCCUGGCUCAACUGGGAGAGGUCGCUCAAGACUGGCCUGCUGGAGAGCAGUAGGGGAAGGUGGAAUUCCGGGUGUAGUGGUGAAAUGCGUAGAUACUCGGAGGAACACCAGUGGCGAAGGCGGCCUUCUGGACUGGCUCUGACGCUCAGACGCGAAAGCUAGGGGAG